rnacentral:rRNA from 1 species
ACAUGCAAGUCGAGCGGUAGAGAGAAGCUUGCUUCUCUUGAGAGCGGCGGACGGGUGAGUAAUGCCUAGGAAUCUGCCUGGUAGUGGGGGAUAACGUUCGGAAACGGACGCUAAUACCGCAUACGUCCUACGGGAGAAAGCAGGGGACCUUCGGGCCUUGCGCUAUCAGAUGAGCCUAGGUCGGAUUAGCUAGUUGGUGAGGUAAUGGCUCACCAAGGCGACGAUCCGUAACUGGUCUGAGAGGAUGAUCAGUCACACUGGAACUGAGACACGGUCCAGACUCCUACGGGAGGCAGCAGUGGGGAAUAUUGGACAAUGGGCGAAAGCCUGAUCCAGCCAUGCCGCGUGUGUGAAGAAGGUCUUCGGAUUGUAAAGCACUUUAAGUUGGGAGGAAGNGCAGUUACCUAAUACGUGAUUGUUUUGACGUUACCGACAGAAUAA